rnacentral:rRNA from 1 species
UACGUAGGGUGCGAGCGUUAAUCGGAAUUACUGGGCGUAAAGCGUGCGCAGGCGGUGAUGUAAGACCGAUGUGAAAUCCCCGGGCUUAACCUGGGAACUGCAUUGGUGACUGCAUUGCUGGAGUAUGGCAGAGGGGGGUGGAAUUCCACGUGUAGCAGUGAAAUGCGUAGAGAUGUGGAGGAACACCGAUGGCGAAGGCAGCCCCCUGGGCCAACUACUGACGCCUCGACUGCACGAAAGCGUGGGGAGCGAAACAAGG